AUUGAACGCUGGCGGAAUGCUUUACACAUGCAAGUCGAACGGUAGAGGGGGCAACCCCUUGAGAGUGGCGAACGGGUGAGUAAUAUAUCGGAACGUGCCCAGUCGUGGGGAUAACGUAGCGAAAGUUACGCUAAUACCGCAUACGAUCUAAGGAUGAAAGCGGGGGAUCGCAAGACCUCGCGCGAUUGGAGCGGCCGAUAUCAGAUUAGGUAGUUGGUGGGGUAAAGGCUCACCAAGCCAACGAUCUGUAGCUGGUCUGAGAGGACGACCAGCCACACUGGAACUGAGACACGGUCCAGACUCCUACGGGAGGCAGCAGUGGGGAAUUUUGGACAAUGGGCGCAGGCCUGAUCCAGCAAUGCCGCGUGCAGGAUGAAGGCCUUC
rnacentral:rRNA from 1 species